rnacentral:rRNA from 1 species
GGGGGGUAGAAUUUCAGGUGUAGCGGUGAAAUGCGUAGAGAUCUGAAGGAAUACCGGUGGCGAAGGCGGCCCCCUGGACAGAUACUGACACUCAGAUGCGAAAGCGUGGGGAGCAAACAGGAUUAGAUACCCUGGUAGUCCACGCCGUAAACGAUGUCUACUUGGAGGUUGUGGCCUUGAGCCGUGGCUUUCGGAGCUAACGCGUUAAGUAGACCGCCUGGGGAGUACGGUCGCAAGAUUAAAACUCAAAUGAAUUGACGGGGGCCCGCACAAGCGGUGGAGCAUGUGGUUUAAUUCGAUGCAACGCGAAGAACCUUACCUACUCUUGACAUCCAGAGAACUUUCCAGAGAUGGAUUGGUGCCUUCGGGAACUCUGAGACAGGUGCUGCAUGGCUGUCGUCAGCUCGUGUUGUGAAAUGUUGGGUUAAGUCCCGCAACGAGCGCAACCCUUAUCCUUGUUUGCCAGCGAGUAAUGUCGGGAACUCCAGGGAGACUGCCGGUGAUAAACCGGAGGAAGGUGGGGACGACGUCAAGUCAUCAUGGCCCUUACGAGUAGGGCUACACACGUGCUACAAUGGCGCAUACAGAGGGCGGCCAACUUGCGAAAGUGAGCGAAUCCCAAAAAGUGCGUCGUAGUCCGGAUUGGAGUCUGCAACUCGACUCCAUGAAGUCGGAAUCGCUAGUAAUCGUGGAUCAGAAUGCCACGGUGAAUACGUUCCCGGGCCUUGUACACACCGCCCGUCACACCAUGGGAGUGGGCUGCAAAAGAAGUAGGUAGUUUAACCUUCGGGGGGACGCUUACCACUUUGUGGUUCAUGACUGGGGUGAAGUCGUAACAAGGUAGCGCUAGGGGAACCUGGCGCUGGAUCACCUCCUUAAACGAUGAU